AGGACACAAUAUGCUUUCCUCCAAGCAAACAAGAAGGCGAGCCAGGGCCUCCCUCCAAAAGCAGCAACCUUUAAAGACAAAACGAGAGAAAGAGAAAAGAGGAAGAGAGGGUAACAUAAAGGAAGAAGGAUGCUGGCUAACUGCCAGUCUAAGUCACACUGUCUUUUUGGAAGGGGAUGAAGCACCAUGCAGACAGAAGAAAGUGGCCUUCUUGGCACUUCUGAGCAAAACAGGAGACAAAGCUGCAACAGAAAACAAGGAAACCUUGACAGAAAGGAGCAUAUUUCUGGGUUAGUACCGAGCUUGGUACUUGAACGAGCUCACAAUUCAAGGUAAUUUACAGACAACUUCUCCAUUUACAGCAGCUGAGAUCAGCAAAUCCACUUAAGCUCUGGCGACCUCAAGGAAGCAAUGAGCUCCACACUUCCUGAUAUGUUGGAUCCAACGUCCAAAGGGCUUCUGCCUGCACACCACACUGCAUCACCAUCACAAACACUUCUCAGCCCAUUUCCACGCUAAAAAUCCAUCCUACCCCCAUCCUACUCCCCUUUUUCUUUUUCAAUGUUAAGCAAUGCAAUGAACAAUUCCACACAUGUUUUUUGUUUAACAUUAUUACUAUUUUAUUGUAGACGGAAGCUGUAUAGAAUAUGAAAUGGUUAUUUAUGACUAAGUGUAGAAUUUGAACAGCUCAAUUUGACUUUGGGACAAAUCACAUCUGUCAUUUAUUUCUACCAGCACCCUCACUACAGUCAAAGGAGCAGCUUUUCAGUACAGCCCAAACACUCCCCACUAGAGACAUGAAAAGUUCAUUUUAAAGUGCUAUUCACAUAAUAAUUACACUUCAGUUGAUGUUAGGAUUAAGCUUCUUAAGACUCAAGAAUCUCUUCUUAUUAAUUUCUUCAAAGAGAUUAAAAAUAUUAAUUCCUAAAUCACAUACAUUUAAAAUAACCACCUCCCAUUAAUUUGUGCGUUCUAUUGUCUCAAAAUUGCGCUUAAUUACUUUCUAUUAUAGAUGCAAUCACACUUGAAAGCAGUUUACUUCUGACUUUCCUGAACUGUACUACGUAGGUGAUGGAUCCCCAACUAAGCAAUAAUAAAUUACAGCAGUGGAGGAAAAAGGAACCAACAUUUUCAGCCAGAAGAAAUGCUGACGAGGUCUGUGUCCUCAGCUGUACUAGAAGCAGACACCACAAACGAUAAGCUGCUCUGCCUAGUUGGCUUUCCCUUUAGAUUGUCCCUUUAGAUUGCAAUAAGCACCAUGGCUAUGAAUUAGCAGAGCUUGCCUUUGUCUUCCCCCCUUUCCACAGUCACAGAGGAACCCCAUAAUCCACACCACGAUGCAUUUCUUAGCUUAGGCACAACAUUUUAAGCCAUUUUAACCCACUGUGUUGGCUGAGGUUUCCUCGGUGCACUGAUUACUUUUCUCCCAUCCCCAGGCAAAGCUUGCUAUCCUGAACCCUAUUUGAAGUCAAAGCAGAUGAAAGCAAAUUGCAAGAAGAAAACAAAUAAACGUUCACGAAUUCCAAAGCAGACAACAAAACCAGCACUGCUUAGAAAAGAAACAGAAAAUCUGUUCUAAAAUAAUGCACAGGCAGACUAAGAACAGACAGGUUGCUCCCAUCCUUUUCCCAGCUGACUGACUGCAGACCUCACUGGCUGCCAUUCUAAAUACCCUUAGCCCCAGGCUGUACCCACUGGAGGGUUUCUUCUGGCUAUAAAAUCUGGUGUCCUCAGCCAAACCUCCCUUUUUAACCCCUCCAGCAAAACUUAAUCCUUCUGCCCCAAAUUAGGUUCUUUUCUUCCUAUCUAGGAGAUGAACUGAGCACUCUCUUUGUUAAAAUAAGCACAGAGUCAUUCUCCUGCAGACACAUCUGUAUGUAUGUGUAAGGGAAGAUCACAAAAUAAAAUCCAAAUAUACAGUUUAUGAUCAGAAAUGGUGAAAGAAAACUUAAACAGCCACAUUACACAACAACGGCUGUUAAUACACUGAGAAAAUAAGGACACAAGGAAGUGAAGAUGCUGAGUGUAAGUUAAUAACACCACUGUCACUGUAAAGAGACAUACACAGAAUUGAGGGAAAAAAGUCUUAAGAACACCAGUAGAGCUCAAGUAGCUCACUGUUCAAUUGCUGCUUUUAGAUAAGACAAUUCACGUUUUGUUUAGCAACAAUCGAUAGCAUUAAACAAAAGAAUCAACCCUAUAAUAGAAACGGAGACUUUUAAAGAACAGCUCCUGAGGAACAACAGCAAGCAAAGCAUCAGCUACUUUGCAAGCACUCGAUAAUCAAGAUGCUAGAAUUAGGAGAAGAAAUAAAACAGCAUCAAUUUUUAAGCUCCCUGUCCCAAUGUGAUUCUGUAAGUAGGGUAACCAUCACGCUGGUACCUUUUGCACGUAAGAAUUCUGCUCUUCAGUCACUUGGAAUAUACAGUUCCUGCGCUGUGAAGGUGAUCAUUACCCAUUUAACAACUUUAAGACUGCUUUCAGUCAGCAAAGCUGCCUUGAAAAGUUCGCCUGAUUUUCAGAGGCUGAAGGUUAAUGGCCUGAAGUCACCUAUCAACACUCUGUUACUAAAAACUUAAUAGUCGCUACUUUACUUAUGCACUAAUCUUGUU